rnacentral:lncRNA from 1 species
CCCGACCAUGAAGUGUAGGGCCAUCUGGCCUUCUGCAUCCUCUACAUUAGGGUCUAGCUCAAUAGACUCAUUGGUAAGGAGUGUCAUAGGGCGGCAGCAUUGGUCUUCCGGGUGGCGGUCCACCAGGGUCCGCCUGCCCCACGUCCGCUUGAAGCCUUCCAAUCGAAUGGGACUUGUAAGAACGAAAAAACAAAGAAAAAUAGAGAUAGUAAGGAAAAAAAUGAGACGACUUGAGAUGGGUUCGAAGAAAGGAAAGUAAAAAUAAUACACUAUAGAAACAAAAAAAAAAAAACAUCAUGGAGGCUUCCAAACUUGGCACGUGGUAUGUUAGGAGAUUAUUCUAUAAUCUUACAUAUCAAUACGGAAUAUCACCCUCAAUAGAUA